rnacentral:rRNA from 14 species
CCUGACAGCGUACCUUUUGUAUAAUGGGUCAGUGAGUUAGUCUAUCAAGCAAGCUUAAGCCGUUAGGUGUAGGCGCAGCGAAAGCGAGUCUGAAUAGGGCGCAUGAGUUUGAUGGAUUAGACCCGAAACCCGGCGAUCUAGGCAUGACCAGGUUGAAGGUGCGGUAACACGCACUGGAGGACCGAACCAUUUAAUGUUGAAAAAUUAUUGGAUGAGUUGUGUUUAGGGGUGAAAGGCCAAUCAAGCCGGGAAAUAGCUGGUUCUCCGCGAAAACUAUUUAGGUAGUGCCUCGGAUGAAUACCAACGGGGGUAGAGCACUGGAUGGAUGCAGGGGGCGCGAGCCUUACUAAUUCUAACCAAACUCCGAAUACCGUUGAGUAAUAUCCGGGAGACAGACUACGGGUGCUAAGGUCCGUAGUCGAGAGGGAAACAGCCCUGACCACCAGCUAAGGUCCCUAAAUCUUGUCUAAGUGGGAAAGCAUGUGAGACGGCCAUAACAACCAGGAUGUUGGCUUAGAAGCAGCCAUCAUUUAAAGAAAGCGUAACAGCUCACUGGUCUAAAUAAGCUGUCUUGCGGCGAAGAUGUACCGGGGCUAAAGACAAGUACCGAAGCUGUGGAUUUGAUCUUUGAUCAAGUGGUAGCGGAGCGUUCUGUAAGUCUGCGAAGGUGUGGCGUGAGCCAUGCUGGAGAUAUCAGAAGUGAGAAUGCUGACAUGAGUAGCGAUAAACAGUGUGAGAGACACUGUCGCCGAAAUCCUAAGGGUUCCUGCGCAAGGCUAAUCCGCGCAGGGUGAGUCGGCUCCUAAGGCGAGGCCGAAAGGCGUAGUCGAUGGGAAACAGGUUAAUAUUCCUGUACCAGGUGGAAUGUGACGAAUGGUGUAAGUUGUGGGUCCUUAUUGGAUUGGACCUGCCGCGAAACUGUUCCAGGAAAUAGCACCACCAUUAAUGACCGUACCCUAAACCGACACAGGUAGGAUGGUAGAGCAUACCAAGGCGCUUGAGAGAACUAUGUUGAAGGAACUCGGCAAAUUGCCUCCGUAACUUCGGGAGAAGGAGGCCCAUCAUUAAGGCAACUUUUUGGUGGGGGCACAGAAGAGGGGGUGGCGACUGUUUACUAAAAACACAGGGCUCUGCGAAGUCGCAAGACGACGUAUAGGGUCUGACGCCUGCCCGGUGCUGGAAGGUUAAGGGGAGCGGUGAGAGCUGCGAAUUGAAGCCCCAGUAAACGGCGGCCGUAACAAUAA